rnacentral:rRNA from 1 species
GACGAACGCUGGCGGCGUGCUUAACACAUGCAAGUCGAACGGAAAGGCCCUGCUUUUGUGGGGUGCUCGAGUGGCGAACGGGUGAGUAACACGUGAGUAACCUGCCCUUGACUUUGGGAUAACUUCAGGAAACUGGGGCUAAUACCGGAUAGGAGCUCCUGCUGCAUGGUGGGGGUUGGAAAGUUUCGGCGGUUGGGGAUGGACUCGCGGCUUAUCAGCUUGUUGGUGGGGUAGUGGCUUACCAAGGCUUUGACGGGUAGCCGGCCUGAGAGGGUGACCGGCCACAUUGGGACUGAGAUACGGCCCAGACUCCUACGGGAGGCAGCAGUGGGGAAUAUUGCACAAUGGGCGGAAGCCUGAUGCAGCAACGCCGCGUGCGGGAUGACGGCCUUCGGGUUGUAAACCGCUUUCGCCUGUGACGAAGCGUGAGUGACGGUAAUGGGUAAAGAAGCACCGGCUAACUACGUGCCAGCAGCCGCGGUGAUACGUAGGGUGCGAGCGUUGUCCGGAUUUAUUGGGCGUAAAGGGCUCGUAGGUGGUUGAUCGCGUCGGAAGUGUAAUCUUGGGGCUUAACCCUGAGCGUGCUUUCGAUACGGGUCGACUUGAGGAAGGUAGGGGAGAAUGGAAUUCCUGGUGGAGCGGUGGAAUGCGCAGAUAUCAGGAGGAACACCAGUGGCGAAGGCGGUUCUCUGGGCCUUUCCUGACGCUGAGGAGCGAAAGCGUGGGGAGCGAACAGGCUUAGAUACCCUGGUAGUCCACGCUGUAAACGGUGGGUACUAGGUGUGGGGUCCAUUCCACGGGUUCCGUGCCGUAGCUAACGCUUUAAGUACCCCGCCUGGGGAGUACGGCCGCAAGGCUAAAACUCAAAGGAAUUGACGGGGCCCCGCACAAGCGGCGGAGCAUGCGGAUUAAUUCGAUGCAACGCGUAGAACCUUACCUGGGUUUGACAUGGAUCGGGAGUGCUCAGAGAUGGGUGUGCCUCUUUUGGGGUCGGUUCACAGGUGGUGCAUGGCUGUCGUCAGCUCGUGUCGUGAGAUGUUGGGUUAAGUCCCGCAACGAGCGCAACCCUUGUUCACUGUUGCCAGCACGUUAUGGUGGGGACUCAGUGGAGACCGCCGGGGUCAACUCGGAGGAGGGUGGGGAUGACGUCAAGUCAUCAUGCCCCUUAUGUCCAGGGCUUCACGCAUGCUACAAUGGCUGGUACAGAGAGUGGCGAGCCUGUGAGGGUGAGCGAAUCUCGGAAAGCCGGUCUCAGUUCGGAUUGGGGUCUGCAACUCGACCUCAUGAAGUCGGAGUCGCUAGUAAUCGCAGAUCAGCAACGCUGCGGUGAAUACGUUCCCGGG